ensembl:lncRNA
AUGGAAUUGUUUUGCAGUUGUCAAAAAAAUGAAGCAGAAAAAAGGAGAUAUGUCAACAGCUCUUUCUUCUCCUCCAGGGAUUUCAUGUGCAGUCCUGCCUUAACCCUGGUUGCCUUCCUUGUUUCCUGCAACCAUGUCUUCUCACUGUAUUUGGUACCACACCUAGAGGAGUCCCUUGAAACCAGUGGAGGGUCCACAGGAGCUGAAGGUGACGUGCCUUCUUUACCUACCCUCUCAUCAUACCAGCUGGCCUGUUUCAAUGGGGAGUCUGCCUGGCACCAGCGGGGCUUUCAUCAGCAAGCGUAGGACCCCUGGUGAGCAGUUGGACAUCAGCUGAUUAGAAUGUCAAGGAGGAGAUCCAACUCUAAGCUACCUGAAGCUGUCUUCCGGAGGAAGUGAAGGAACUGCCAAGUGAGAGAUACCGAAGCCUUGAAUGGGUUACAUUGUGUCUCCCCACCAAAAAAUGUUCAAGUCUUAAUCCUCGAUACCUGUGCAUGUCACCUUUUUUGGAAAUAGUGCCUUUGCUGACGAUCAAGUUAAGAUGAGGUCAUAAGGGUGAGCUCUCUAUCAGUAUGACUGUGUCCAUAUAAAGAGGGGAAAUUUUGGCCAGGCUCGUUGGCUCAAGCCCGUGAUCCCAGCAUUUGGGAGGCCGAGGCGGGUGGAUCACGAGGUCAACAGAUCGAGACCAUCCUGGUCAACAUGGUGAAAACCCGUCUCUACUAAAAAUUACAAAAAAUUAGCUGGGCACAGUGGCGUGUGCCUGUAAUCCCAGCUACUCAGGAGGCUGAGGCAGGAGAAUUGCCUGAAACCAGGUGGCAGAGGUUGCGGUGAGCCAAGAUCGUGCCAUUGCACUCCAGCCUGGGUAACAAGAGCAAAACUCUGUCUCAAAAAAAAAAAAAGGGGGGGGGGGACAUUUUGAGACGAGACAGACAUGCACACAGGGAGAAUGCCACAUGAAGGAGAAAGCAGAGAUCAGUGUGAUGCAUCUGCAAGCCCAGCAAUGUCAAUGAUUGCCAGCAAACCACCGGGGGCCAGGAGGGAGGCAUGGGGCGGAUUCUCUUUUGCAGCCCUCAGAAGAAACCAACCCUACUGACACCUUGAUCUGGACUUCUGGCCUUCAGAACUAGAAGGGACAACACAUUUCUGUUGUUUAAGUUACCCACUUUGUGGCGCUUUCUUGUGGCAGCUCAUGUUUACUAAUCCUGCGGGGUACAGUAAAGUGAGGACAACCCUCUCCUUGCCAACUGUGUGACCUUGACAAGUUACCUACUCUCUCAGAGGUAUGCAACGGAGUUUUUGUUUUUGCUUUUGAGACAGGGUCUCACUCUGUCACCCAAGCUGGAGUAUAGUGUGCUAUCGCAGCUCGCCGCAGCCUCAAGCUCCUGGACUCAAGCAAUCCUCCCACCUCAGCUUCCCAAGUAGCUAGGGCUACAGGCAUGCACCACCACGCCGGCUAAUUUUUUUUUUUUUUAGAGACAGGGUUUCAUCAUGGCUGUGAUGGAGGUGACACCAGUGACUACCGCAGGAGGUUCAGUGAGCUGUUCAUGACACAUAAAUGCUCAACAUAUCACAAAUGUG